rnacentral:rRNA from 1 species
UACGAAGGGGGCUAGCGUUGUUCGGAAUUACUGGGCGUAAAGCGCACGUAGGCGGAUAUUUAAGUCAGGGAUGAAAUCCCAGAGCUCAACUCUGGAACUGCCUUUGAUACUGGGUAUCUUGAGUAUGGAAGAGGUGAGUGGAAUUCCGAGUGUAGAGGUGAAAUUCGUAGAUAUUCGGAGGAACACCAGUGGCGAAGGCGGCUCACUGGUCCAUUACUGACGCUGAGGUGCGAAAGCGUGGGGAGCAAACAGG